GUUGUUUGUAGCUUAACGAAAGCAUGGCAUUGAAGAUGCCACGAUGGCCUAAAAUCCCGACAACA
rnacentral:tRNA from 1 species